UGGGGAAUAUUGCACAAUGGGCGCAAGCCUGAUGCAGCCAUGCCGCGUGUAUGAAGAAGGCCUUCGGGUUGUAAAGUAUCUUUCAGCGAGGAGGAAGGUGUUGUGGUUAAUAACCGCAGCAAUUGACGUUACUCGCAGAAGAAGCAGCCGGCUAACUCCGUGCCAGCAGCCGCGGUAAUACGGAGGGUGCAAGCGUUAAUCGGAAUUACGUGGGACGUAAAGCGCACGCAGGCGGUCUGUCAAAGUCGGAUGUGAAAAUCCCCGGGCUCAACCUGGGAACUGCAUCCGAAACUGGCAGGCUAGAGUCUUGUAG
rnacentral:rRNA from 1 species